GGGCGGUUGGCUCAGUGGUUAGAGCACUUGCUUCACACGCAAGGGGUCACAAGUUCAAAUCUUGUACCGCCCA
rnacentral:tRNA from 1 species